rnacentral:rRNA from 1 species
AGAGUUUGAUCCUGGCUCAGGACGAACGCUGGCGGCGUGCCUAACACAUGCAAGUCGAGCGAGGAGAGUUCUUCAAAAGCGGCGGACGGGUGAGUAACACGUGGGUAACCUACCUCAAAGAGGGGGAUAGCCUUCCGAAAGGAAGAUUAAUACCGCAUAAUCCAUUUAUUCCGCAUGGAAUGGAUGGUAAAGAUUUAUCGCUUUGAGAUGGACCCGCGGCGCAUUAGCUAGUUGGUGAGGUAACGGCUCACCAAGGCCACGAUGCGUAGCCGACCUGAGAGGGUGAUCGGCCACAUUGGAACUGAGACACGGUCCAGACUCCUACGGGAGGCAGCAGUGGGGAAUAUUGCACAAUGGGCGCAAGCCUGAUGCAGCAACGCCGCGUGAGUGAUGAAGGUCUUCGGAUUGUAAAGCUCUGUCUUUUGGGACGAUAAUGACGGUACCAAAGGAGGAAGCCACGGCUAACUACGUGCCAGCAGCCGCGGUAAUACGUAGGUGGCAAGCGUUGUCCGGAUUUACUGGGCGUAAAGGAUGCGUAGGCGGAUAUUUAAGUGAGAUGUGAAAUUCCCGGGCUUAACUUGGGAGCUGCAUUUCAAACUGGAUAUCUAGAGUGUGGGAGAGGAGAAUGGAAUUCCUAGUGUAGCGGUGAAAUGCGUAGAGAUUAGGAAGAACACCAGUGGCGAAAGCGAUUCUCUGGACCAUAACUGACGCUGAGGCAUGAAAGCGUGAGUAGCAAACAGGAUUAGAUACCCUGGUAGUCCACGCCGUAAAACGAUGAGU